rnacentral:rRNA from 1 species
AUUGAACGCUGGCGGCAGGCCUAACACAUGCAAGUCGAACGGUAACAGGGAUCAGCUUGCUGAUUCGCUGACGAGUGGCGGACGGGUGAGUAAUGUCUGGGAAACUGCCUGAUGGAGGGGGAUAACUACUGGAAACGGUAGCUAGUACCGCAUAACGUCGCAAGACCAAAGAGGGGGACCUUCGGGCCUCUUGCCAUCGGAUGUGCCCAGAUGGGAUUAGCUAGUAGGUGGGGUAACGGCUCACCUAGGCGACGAUCCCUAGCUGGUCUGAGAGGAUGACCAGCCACACUGGAACUGAGACACGGUCCAGACGCCUACGGGAGGCAGCAGUGGGGAAUAUUGCACAAUGGGCGCAAGCCUGAUGCAGCCAUGCCGCGUGUAUGAAGAAGGCCUUCGGGUUGUAAAGUACUUUCAGCGGGGAGGAAGGGAGUAAAGUUAAUACCUUGGCUCAUUGACGUUACCCGCAGAAGAAGCACCGGCUAACUCCGUG